GCAUUUUUUUCAAGCCCUCAUUAUGCUGCACCAGUAUCUCCAGAUGCCCUUCCGAGGGAGUUAGGCUGCUUCCUAUUCAACACAGCGAAGAGCCAUGGCCAAUUCAGAACAAUGCCACACUAAUUUGGAGCCUUCUAAUCAACCCAUUGCAGCCCGUGAGGAGCAUGGAGAGGCAGAAAUCCCCAUCGCCCGCCGCUUGAGAGACCGUGAGAUGCUCCGGAAAAGAAGGGAAAAAGCCCAGGAGAAGGACUCAGCUUACUGGAUUUACAGGGAGCCGAGGAUCAAAAAGCCGAGGAAAGGCAGAGGAGACAAGCAAGGAUGGGGUGACCAGCCAGCAGUGGAGCCCAAACCAGUGGCGGAACUGAAGGUGGAACCGGAGGCAGAACCAGUGGAAGAACCAGCGGAAGAACUGGAACAUGUCCAGCCCAACCUCAAGCCGCAGGAGAAGGCUGAGCCAGUGGCACCCAAGCCAGCACCACCUGAGCCAGUGCAACAGGAGCAGUCGCCUGCGCUGACCACCCAGGGCCUGGUUGCUGGGAUGCCAAUGGGAGCAGCGGGUGGGGAGCUGGCAGCCAGUAGCCAGGAUGCUGUGGGUGAUGAGGAGCUGCUGAAUCUGGCAGAAACGGAGAUACCUGAAGAUCUGAAUACUCCUCUGGAUAACAUGUGCCAGGAUAACGAAUACAUACCCUUUCUGUUUUAGUUUUCUGAUCGGGUUUUUUCCGGUUCAGGAUGUUUUGACUCCUGCCUGACAAACUCCAAUAAGUACUGCAGAGUGAUUUUGACCUGCUCCUUCCUUGUAACAAAGCCCAUACGCUCCUGGUCACUCUGCUUUUUAUGCUUCUUUUAAGUUAGAAUGAGGGCAAAUGUAAUUGCUGUGCUUUUAGCUAGCUGGAGCUGCUCAGCUUGGGCUUUUUUCCUGCACCCAAUAAAACAGCCACUUGUUUCAUCA
rnacentral:lncRNA from 1 species